GCGGCGUGCUUUAAAAUGCAAGUCGAACGGUAAGGCCCCAGCUUGCUGGGGUACACGAGUGGCGAACGGGUGAGUAACACGUGGGUGACCUGCCCCGCACUUCGGGAUAAGCCUGGGAAACUGGGUCUAAUACCGGAUAAGACCGCACCGUGAGGGUGUGGUGGAAAGUUUUUCGGUGUGCGAUGGGCCCGCGGCCUAUCAUCUUGUUGGUGGGGUAAUGGCCUACCAAGGCGGCGACGGGUAGCCGGCCUGAUAGGGUGGACAGCCACCUUGGGACUGAUACACGGCCCACACUCCUACGGGAGGAAGCAGUGGGGAAUAUUGCUCAAUGGGGGGAAGCCUGAUGCAGCGACGCCGCGUGGGGGAUGACGACCUUCUGGUUGUUGACUCCUUUCUUCAUCGACGAAGGUUUUCUGACGGUAGAUGGAGAAGAAGCACCGGCUAACUACUUGCCACCAGCCGCGGUAAUACGUAGGGUGCGAGCGUUGUCCGGAAUUACUGGGGGUAAAAAGCUCGUAGGUGGUUUGUCGCGUCGUCUGUGAAAUUCCGGGGCUUAACUCCUGGCGUGCACGCGAUACAGGCAUAACUUGAGUACUGUAAGGGAGACUGGAAUUCCUGGUGUAACCGUGAAAUGCGCAGAUAUCAAGAGGAACACCGGUGGGGAAAGCGGGACUCCGGGCGUAACUGAAGCUGAAGAACCAAAGCGUGGGUA
rnacentral:rRNA from 1 species